UACAGAGGGUGCGAGCGUUGUCCGGAAUCACUGGGCGUAAAGGGCGCGUAGGUGGCGAGCCAAGUCCAUGGUGAAAGCUCGAUGCUCAACAUCGAGUCGGCCACGGAUACUGGUGCGCUUGAGCACUGUAGGGGCUAAUGGAAUUCCGGGUGUAGCGGUGGAAUGCGUAGAGAUCCGGAAGAACACCGGUGGCGAAGGCGGUUAGCUGGGCAGUUGCUGACACUGAGGCGCGACAGCGUGGGGAGCAAACAGG
rnacentral:rRNA from 1 species